ensembl:lncRNA
GUCAGUUCUGGGAAAUGAGUUCAUACUGUUCCUUCUCAGUCAUAUGCUGCCCAUAAAGACAGGGUCUGAGCCUGGGUGUCAGGACAGUCAGAACAGGCCUCCUGAGAGCUCUGGGUCUCCUCCUAAAAGUGUUGUCUUCCCAUCUCCAAGCACCAUGGUCUCCUUGCCUGUCUUCUCCAUCUUGAUCAUUUCCAUUUCUGGCCUCUUCACCAUACCUCCAGCAGGUUAACUGGAGCAAGUCAUUUCUCCUCUCUGUGCCUCAGUGUCCUUAUCUGUAAAACAGAAGUUUUACACAUAAAAGACCUUAAAAGUCCCUUCCAAUCUUCAAUCUAUCAUCCAGUGACAUAAAAGAAAUGUAUGAAGACAAGAUGGAGAAAUCCUUCAGUAAGAACAAGGGAUCAUUGCUUUUUAAAACUGCUUUUGGUCCAAGCCAGGUGACAGCUUUUUCCCAAUGCCGUGAGGCAUUCAAACCCAGCAAAGUACAGACUUGUCUUUAGUGACCUCACAGCAACCCUGAAAUGGGACCAGAAGGAUCAUCCCUAUUUCACAGCUGGGGGACAGAGUUUUGGAGGGGCUAAGUAACUUGUUCAAGGUUUCCCAGCCCUGAGAGAGACGGAGAGAAGAAAGAACCCUGGUUUUCCCACUUCUCAGUCAAGUUCUUUAGGCCCUCUGGGGGUGUGGCCAAAGCCCUCUCAUCCUAUCUCAUGCAUCUGGUCCCUCUCAGGAAAUGUCUAAGGCCUCCCUGGUUGAUGGACCCUCCUCUUUUGGGGUGUAAGAUCCUGUGCCUAGUGUAGCUCAUACUGAACCUUCCCUGCCCACAUCAUCAUGACCCAGCCCCCUGGGAUAGUGUCUUGAGUGAAGGAAAAGAGAGAUUGUUGGGAGAGGAGAGAAAAGGAGAAAAAGGGGAUAGAAUAACUGGAGUAGAAAGAGAAGAUUUAGGAGGAGGAAACUGUGGAGGUAGAGGAAAAAAAGAGGAGGACAGAGAAGGAGGAAAAGAGGAUAGACUAGUUGGAGUGGGAAGACAAAAUGCAGGAGAAAGGAAAUGAGGAAAUAGGAGGAGUUAGGAGAACAAUAAGAGGAAGAGGAGUGAACCUAGGCCUUCGAGAUUCCUCCAGAAACAUUGGGUCAUC